rnacentral:rRNA from 1 species
GGAUAAUCUACCCUUAGGACCGGGAUAACCCUGGGAAACUGGGGCUAAUACUGGAUAGGCAAUUUUUCCUGCAAUGGUUUUUUGUUUAAAUGUUUUUUCGCCUAAGGAUGAGUCUGCGGCCGAUUAGGUAGUUGGUUAGGUAAUGGCUUACCAAGCCGUUGAUCGGUACGGGUUGUGAGAGCAAGAGCCCGGAGAUGGAACCUGAGACAAGGUUCCAGGCCCUACGGGGUGCAGCAGGCGCGAAACCUCCGCAAUGUGAGAAAUCGCGACGGGGGGAUCCCAAGUGCCAUUCUUAACGGGAUGGCUUUUCAUUAGUGUAAAGAGCUUUUGGAAUAAGAGCUGGGCAAGACCGGUGCCAGCCGCCGCGGUAACACCGGCAGCUCUAGUGGUAACAAUUUUUAUUGGGCCUAAAGCGUCCGUAGCCGGUUUAAUAAGUCUCUGGUGAAAUCCUGUAGCUUAACUGUGGGAAUUGCUGGAGAUACUAUUAGACUUGAGACCGGGAGAGGUUAGAGGUACUCCCAGGGUAGAGGUGAAAUUCUGUAAUCCUGGGAGGACCGCCUGUUGCGAAGGCGUCUAACUGGAACGGUUCUGACGGUGAGGGACGAAAGUUAGGGGCGC